rnacentral:rRNA from 1 species
AUUGAACGCUGGCGGCGUGCUUAACACAUGCAAGUCGAGCGGUAAGGCCCUUUCGGGGGUACACGAGCGGCGAACGGGUGAGUAACACGUGGGUGACCUGCCCUCAGCUCUGGGAUAAGCCUGGGAAACCGGGUCUAAUACUGGAUAUGACUCCAUGACGCAUGUUGUGGGGUGGAAAGCCUUGUGCGGCUGAGGAUGGGCCCGCGGCCUAUCAGCUUGUUGGUGGGGUGAUGGCCUACCAAGGCGACGACGGGUAGCCGGCCUGAGAGGGCGACCGGCCACACUGGGACUGAGACACGGCCCAGACUCCUACGGGAGGCAGCAGUGGGGAAUCUUGCGCAAUGGGCGAAAGCCUGACGCAGCGACGCCGCGUGAGGGAUGACGGCCU